rnacentral:rRNA from 2 species
AAGGCUAAAUACUCCUGACUGACCGAUAGUGAACCAGUACCGUGAGGGAAAGGCGAAAAGAACCCCGGCGAGGGGAGUGAAAAAGAACCUGAAACCGUGUACGUACAAGCAGUGGGAGCCCCACCACUAAGCCAGUGGUGAACUCCACAUACGCAUCCUUUGCUGAGGAUACGGUUAACGGAGCGAAAGCGACGUUCAACCGCAAAAGAAGCAGAGGGGGCUUAGUGGUGGGGUGACUGCGUACCUUUUGUAUAAUGGGUCAGCGACUUAUAUUCUGUAGCAAGGUUAACCGAAUAGGGGAGCCGGAGGGAAACCGAGUCUUAAUUGGGCGUUAAGUUGCAGGGUAUAGACCCGAAACC